rnacentral:tRNA from 1 species
GGUAGGAUGGCCGAGUGGUCUAAGGCGGUUGAUUCAAGUAUGUGUUGAAUAUUUCAGCGGUUUCGCUGGUACCCAACUUAUCCUGGGUUCGAAUCCCAGUUCUACCA